UACGAAGGGGGCUAGCGUUGCUCGGAAUCACUGGGCGUAAAGGGUGCGUAGGCGGGUCUUUAAGUCAGGGGUGAAAUCCUGGAGCUCAACUCCAGAACUGCCUUUGAUACUGGGAGUCUCGAGUCCGAGAGAGGUGAGUGGAACUGCGAGUGUAGAGGUGAAAUUCGUAGAUAUUCGCAAGAACACCAGUGGCGAAGGCGGCUCACUGGCCCGAUACUGACGCUGAGGCACGAAAGCGUGGGGAGCAAACAGG
rnacentral:rRNA from 1 species